rnacentral:rRNA from 1 species
AUUGAACGCUGGCGGCAUGCUUUACACGUGCAAGUCGAACGGUAACAGGCCGCAAGGUGCUGACGAGUGGCGAACGGGUGAGUAAUGCAUCGGAACGUGCCCAGUCGUGGGGGAUAACGCAGCGAAAGCUGUGCUAAUACCGCAUACGAUCUAUGGAUGAAAGCGGGGGACCGUAAGGCCUCGCGCGAUUGGAGCGGCCGAUGUCAGAUUAGGUAGUUGGUGGGGUAAAGGCUCACCAAGCCAACGAUCUGUAGCUGGUCUGAGAGGACGACCAGCCACACUGGGACUGAGACACGGCCCAGACUCCUACGGGAGGCAGCAGUGGGGAAUUUUGGACAAUGGGCGCAAGCCUGAUCCAGCAAUGCCGCGUGCAGGAAGAAGGCCUUCGGGUUGUAAACUGCUUUUGUACGGAACGAAGCGGUCCUGGUUAAUACCUGGGGCUAAUGACGGUACCGUAAAAAUAAGCACCGGCUAACUACGUGCCAGCAGCCGCCGUAAAAC